rnacentral:lncRNA from 1 species
CAGUGUUCCUCUUCUUGGGGACCACGCUUGCUGGGCUGCAAUGCUUCACCCAAAUUGUGGUGUUCCAGGGCCACGGGCAGUGGGGAUGGGAGGUAGGGAGAGCUGCUGCGACUGUGGGGGGUGGCACGGUCCCCCCUAGUGAGAGUUUGGUCCUGGUGUUGGCCCGGGCCAUCUCCCCUGUCGGAAGUGUCUUGUCUUGCACGGGGACUGUGCACAGACCUGUGCUGUGCUUUUGAGUCAUUCAGGAUUGUUAAAUGUCAAAGUGCAUUUUCCGAGGUAUGUUAGACCCAAUAUUCUGCAUUUCUGACCAGCCCUGGGGAGGCCAAAGCUGCCAGUCUUGAGGCCACAAUUAGAGUGUCAAGGUCUGAGUCAGUGCAGAAGCCAAUGAAUUAUCAGAAAAAGUUUCUACUUGCUUUAAAAUAAAAAAAAAUUGAAAUAUCACCCAAACCUUCUGGUGUGUAACACCAUUUGGUCUUUUCUUUAAAAAAUUCCUUGUAUUUGGUGAGAAAACAUGCAGUUGCUCAAGGUCACCCAUGUCCUGCAGAAGCGGCAUUUUCCUCUUUACAGAAGGAGCCCCACACCCCCGAAGAGCUGUCAGGGGGAUUUUCCCAGGCAGGGGUUUAUCUCUUAGACCUGGGGAGACUUUACUUCUAAGGCAACGGGUGUUACAGAAUUGUAAUUUUCAAAAAUACCUUGAAGUAGUAAUGAGAAUUAUUGGGGUUAUUACUUCUAGAAUCAUUGGAAAUUCUGACUUCAAGGAACUAUGAGAAUUAAGUAAUCUAAUGUCCCGAUCUACGUAAUCUUUCUGAAUCUUUGAUAUUUAUUGACUUGAUCAAGUAUUCAUCAAGAUCAAGGGUGGAAGACUUCACUAAAAUUAGAAACAGGGCUCCCGAUUCCCAGGCCCUGCCCUUCUUGCCACACUAACAGAAUAACCCUGUGCACAUUCUGACAUGUGAAUGAGCCUUAUUGACAUGCAUGGACUACAAAAAUCAGAUUAAUCAACCGAUGCCCAGUCACACGUGAAGGAACAACAUAUGGACAAGAUUUCUCUUUGAUGCAAGGCUGCGUUGCUUUAGGUUUUUUAACCUGUACCCUGCUGGGAGGAUGCAGGUCAGGACAGCUGCCUUCUUUUAAAGCUGUUCAAGAUGCAGUGUUCUAGUCAUGUGUUUUGGCAAACCAAAUAUCUUUGGCUCUAACUUAAGGAGUAACAUUCACAUGGUUGAUGUCUGUUCUCAAAGGGCUUCAUGAAAAGUGCAGCCCAUGUGCCCCUGCUCAUGGUGGGCUUCUGCUGAAGGCGAGGCGAUGGCCACACCUGCCUUUUGAGGCUGCCUGGGGACACAGUGAGGAACUGCCACACGGUCCCAGCACAGUCCUGCGCGCGGAGCGCAAGUGGUCACUGUUCUUACACAUUGUGUUCUCUGCAGGUUGACGCUUAGUAGGGUCUCAAAGAAUAUCAGUUCCACUUUCACCUAGCAGUCCAGCAAUUCAUGUAAAAUAAGCAAACCCCCCAUUUGUCCCCUAGCGAGGCCAAAACAUUUGCCUAUUACUCUAAGUGUUCGUGCACAUGAUCAGAAACCAUAUGAGGUAAGCGUUAAAACACGCCCACUUCUGGGUACAUACAUACCUAAAACAAUCAGAAGUAGGGACCUGGACAGAUAUUGGCACAUCCAUGCUCAUAGCAGCACUAUUCACAAUAACCGAAAGUUAGAAGCCACACAAGUGUCCACUGACAGAUGAGUGGUAAGCAAGAUGUGGUCCAUCCAUCCACACGGUGGACUUAUUACCCAGUCUUCAACGUGCUACACCAUGGGUGGCCUUUGAAUACAUUAUGCCGAGUGAAAGAAGCCGGUCCUAAAGGGACAAAUGCUGUUUGAUACGAGGUAGUUAGAAUCAUCAAAUUCACAGGAACAGAAAGUGGAACGGGGCAGGGGAAAGGGGAGUCAGUGUUUAAUCGGGACAGAGUUUCAGUUUGGGAAGGUGAGAAAGUUCUGGGGAUCUGUUGGAGAACAAUGUGCAUAGUUAACACUACUGAACUGAACUGAAGAUUUAGAAAUGAUUAAGAUGGUACAUUUUAUUCUAUUUUUACCACAAUAAAAAAAUAUGUAAGUGGGGAGACAACAGCUGGGAGGAUUUUGUUCUUUGACAUUGCCUCACCUCUCAGAUGAGAGGCCUUCUUUGCUCCAGGCCUUCCAGGGUCCCUGGGACCUAGGACCCCAGUCAUGAGGGAGGCAGCCUGUGUCCAUUCUUUACUGACAUCACUUCUGUGAGAGGGAGUGGCAGGGAAGGGGCCAAAAGGUGAUGCAGAGGUGAUUGCAGCCUCAGAGGGGGCCCUGAAAAGCUGGCUGGGUGAGGUAUCCCCGCGGUCACCUCCUGUGAACAUUGUGUAAUGAGAGCAAU